GGGGCUAUAGCUCAGUGGUAGAGCACAUGCUUUGCAUGUAGAAGGCCCCUGAUUCAACCUCUGCCACCUCCA